UUGGAGGGCAAGUCUGGUGCCAGCAGCCGCGGUAAUUCCAGCUCCAAUAGCGUAUAUUAAAGUUGUUGCAGUUAAAAAGCUCGUAGUUGAAUUUCGGGACUAAUAUGUCGGUCGUACUUUGUACGUACUAGCAUUAUUGGUUUCUCCCUUCUGACGAACCACGAUGUCAUUAAUUUGGUGUCGUGGGAAAUCAGGACUGUUACUUUGAAAAAAUUAGAGUGUUUAAAGCAAGCUCGCGCUUGAAUACAUUAGCAUGGAAUAAUGAAAUAGGACGUUUGAUUCUAUUUUGUUGGUUUCUAGGAUCGACGUAAUGAUUAAUAGGGAUAGUUGGGGGCAUUAGUAUUCAAUUGUCAGAGGUGAAAUUCUUGGAUUUAUUGAAGACUAACUACUGCGAAAGCAUUUGCCAAGGAUGUUUUCAUUAAUCAAGAACGAAAGUUAGGGGAUCGAAGACGAUCAGAUACCGUCGUAGUCUUAACCAUAAACUAUGCUGACUAGGGAUCGGAUGAUGUUAAUUUUUUAAUGACUCAUUCGGCGCCUUACGGGAAAC
rnacentral:rRNA from 1 species